AGAAAACUCCAAGCAUUGCAAUUAAAUUCUUAAGUACCAGUGGCAGCUUGAAUGUGAAGUGGAUGGACUCUAUUCCUGGAAGCAAAAAUCUUCAAGUGAGGCAGAGGGUGAAAGGAAAGGCCCUAGAGUCCAAGUUGACAGCCUGCAUUCUACCUUCCUCCAUCCCACUUCUGUGUCUCAUCUAUGAAAUAUGAUGAGAUCACCAGAGCCCAAACUAGUUAAGUAGCCUACCAGCUGCCAGCACGCGAUGGAACCAUAACUCAAGCGCACUUUAUCUGCUUGCACACCAGGAAAAUGCUUCACAUCUUAUCUGCAAUAAAAUGAGAUACUAAACCAGCAAACAUACAGGCCUCAUUUGCAGGAAAUCUACAAAGUGAUGCCAUGUCAAGUGCUGCAUAGGGAUGCCAACCUUUGAAGGAGUCCAAGGAAGGAAAGAAUGAGAAGGAGCAGAUCAGGAAGGACUGGAUGAAAGAGAUAGGACAUGCUGAAGAAGAUGGAGGAAGGGGUGGGAUUUGGACAGAACGUCAUUUGUCAUACAGAGCGGCUUGCCUGACAGAUCAGAGCUCAUACUAGUGAGCAGGAAAAGGCAAAACUCCACUUUCAAGAAGGGAGAGGUGCCGAGAGCCAAGAGGACUGAUUUCCAGAUUAUCAAAUUCCUCAGGUGUGUCAGGAAGAAGGAUGUCCAUGAGGAGAAAAAUUAAGAAAACCAAGACAUUAAACUGCAGUGCAGAAAGGAGUAUGGAGGUCACUGGCACUGUGAAAAAUAGCAUAAACGACAUGGCAUUCUGGAGUUGGAAGCGCUGUGACUCUGUUCAUGCAUUCUAACGGCAUCCUUGAGGUAAUUAAAAUGUCUCAAAAAACGAGUGAGUGAGGUGUCAAAGCAGAUAACUCAACAGAGAUGUCAGCUUUCUGUAUCACAGCCAUCAAAACAGCGACAAAGAUUUAAGACAAGAAUGAUUUUCACUUUGCUCGGCCAAUUGAUGAAAUGACGGUGACUUUUUAUGAGUGUGUGCUUAAUAAAGUGUAGGUUUUGGAAAAGAGGGAGGGGCAGGAGGGGAAGGAAGCUGAACUGCUUGAGGAAUUAUAUCCCAGAAAAUUCUACGUUGCACUGUUGCAAAGACCUAGUUUUACCUUCUUCUUCCUAUGCCAGAAAUAACUUUCAAAAAUGUGAAAGUAAUUCUUGUUCUUCCUUCAUUAAAACUCUUCAGAAAGGUCACACUUCAAGGAAUGCAUGGUCUUUUGUGACCUAGCUUUUAAUCAUCAGAUGUAGUUUUUCAUGAGGCUUACAGACAGUCGACACCCGUCUCCCACCCCCACCCCUACCUUCUAUCCAUAUCUGUCCUGUGUUUCUCUAAGAUAUUUCUGUACAUUUUUUUUGCCCUAGUUCAAGGUCCCCAGUACGCCCCCCUUUUCUGGCUCAGGUGGGAUUUCCUAGCUGUUGAGCAUUAUCAAGAUGUCUUUUGUUAUGUUAAUGAGGUAACUGUUGGAAAGCACUGAAGGGUGUAUAUAGGCUGGUUGUCAGUGGAGCCAACCAUGUGAUUAGAGGGCUGGAACUUUCAGUCCCACCUCUGACCUCCUGGGAGCAGAGAAGGACUUGAGGUUGAAUCAAUGGGCAACUGCAAAUGAUUUAAUCAAACAUGCCUAUGUGAUGAAGCCUCCAUGAAACUCCAAAAGGAUGGGGCUCUGAGAGUUUCCUGGUUGGUGAACACGUAGAAGUUCCAGGAGAGUGCCAUGCCUAGAGAGGGCAUGAAAGCACCAUGCCCCUUUUCAUAGACCUUGCCCUAUGCAUGUCUUCCAUCUGGCUGCUCCUGAGUUAUAUCCUUUUAUAAUAAACUGGUGAUCUAGUAAAUAAAAUGUUUUUCUGAGUUCUGUGAGCCACUCUAGCAAAUUAAUCGAACCCAAGAGGGGAUCUUAGGAACCUCCAAUUUGUUGCCAGUCAGUCAGAAGCACCAUGGACUUGUGAAUGGUGCCUGAAGUGGGGGAGGGAAAGGUGGUCAAUACAUUGGAAGGAAGAAGGGUUUUUACUCAAAACCUGACCCUGUGAUGGACAAAGACCAUGAGUAAAUUAGUGUUGGUGAAUUAGUCUACUUAUGAAAUGUGGCUCUGAAUAAUUUAUAUACAAGCCUUGCAGAAAGAAAGCCAUGUGCCAAUACUGCAUGAACUCUGAGCAGACCCUGGGACAGCCAGCAGAUGAAUAGUGCAAGACAGUUUCCUUGAAAGGCUGAUGGUAUAAUAGGGCAGGGGAGGAUAAGGUGAAAGACAGAAUUCCUCACUCAGCAUCUCUGCAACCUUUUGCACUUCUGUGUCUUGCUGUGUCUGAAGGGAUUGAUUUCUUCAUUUUCCAGAGUGACUGUGCCAAGGACCAAUGUCCAAGGGUCCUUGUCUUGUGACACACUGCGUAUGCCAAUAGACAGCAUAUCAGUAUUUGUUGUCUUUGAUUCUGGCUUAUCUAUUCCUCAUUUUGAGACGUUCUGAUGACUCAAGAACCAAUCAGGGAAUAUGUACUAAUUUGGUGGGUUUCUCAGGCCCAUUCCCCACCUUAUCUCACAAGUCACUAGAGCCCCAGGGAGUGGAUUGUCCUACUUAGGGGUGUCCUACCCUGGAGUCCAUUUGAUUAAUGAUAACAAAUGUCGGGAAUAGGUGAGAAGGUGAACUCAGAAGUCAUGUAGAUGAGAACAAAGACACUGAGUAGUAAAGGCGCACUGUGGCUGGGGAGUACUGGGAAGAGUAGUAGGAGAACAUCCGAGGUUCUGUAUGUAGGUAGUUUAUGUUUCAUUCAUGGCAUUUUCAGCAACGUUUUGCCUGGGUAGCUUGCAUCUCAAAACUACUGCUGCCUCUGUGUACAAUUGAGAAUAAAUUAAUAUCUGCUGUUCCAACCACUGUUACCCCACCCAUUCAGGGGGUCAUCCUAAUGUGAGCCACAUGACCCUCUCAAGGUCAUGCUGUUUUGUCUGCUGGAGCCUUCAGCAUGUGCAUGAGUAGUCGUUUUUUACUAGAAAGAGAUACCCUCUGUGUCUUCUCAUUGGCUGCCACUGGGCUUGGCAGGGUCUCUGGGAUGUCCUUGGGAACUCCUUGGACACUAGGUUCCAGUGGCUCUCACCAGCACUGUGGCUGUUUCUGCCAUCGCUUCCUAGGCAUGAUCAUUGUCACUGUUGCUUUGAGCCUCAGGUACAAAGGUCCAAAAUCUCCAUGAUGGGCUGUCACAGUAGAGUGGAAAUGCAGGUCUUACGUGAAGCUAUUCUGUCCGUGAAAAGAAAAAGAAUUUAAACAGCUCUAGCUUUCCUGAGUUCAUGAAGACUGGGCUUGGAAACAAAUGCAGAAUAUGGACGUCAUGCUGUGUUUUAGAUUACAUUCCCCCUCUCCCGUCCAAGACUUUGUCACUCCACCAAGUUUAUCUACCUCGCUCUCUCCUCAGUUUUCUCCCCAAGGUUCCUUUUUCUCUAAUGCAGGCCUAUCCCUGGAGUUUUCUAAGUUUGUUUUAAUUCCAAUGAUCAGUACAGCUUAGUCUAAAAAAUAA